GAGGGUAUAGCUCAUACAGUAGAGUGCAUGCUUAGCAUGCACAAGGUUCCUGGGUUCAAUCCCCAGUACCUCCU
rnacentral:tRNA from 1 species